GGCGUAGCUCAGUUGGGAGAGCACCUGCCUUGCAAGCAGGGGGUCAGGAGUUCGAAUCUCCUCGUC
rnacentral:tRNA from 1 species